CUAUACUGAUGUGGUGUAUGUGGUACUGCUGAGCUUGUAUGUGAUCUGAACCAUUGUAAAGGUUGCAGUUCAAGGGCCUGAGGUGGAAGCAGAAUUUGUGAGGAUUACUACUGCUCCACUUGUUCCAAGGCUUUUUGCACAACUUGACCAAUACACCAAUGACCAGCUCAUAAAAGUCUUCAAGAAAAAAGGAGGCGCUGCAGGGAAGAAAAUUAGACAAACUUUGGCUCCAGCCACAAAGGAAACUAUUGAAAAGGGGAGGGAGUGUGUCCUCAGGGCACUACCUUUUUACCUGAAUGAAGACCCAAGCAUCCUCUUCAAAGAAUAAUUGGUUGGUAAUUUUAGUUUAGUUUUUUAUCUGUAUUAAACCAAAUUUUGAAUAACUAAUGUUGUUGCAUGUUGUAGUGUUGUUGUAAUUUGCAUGGAACCUGUUUUGGGGAAUCUUCUUGUAUACCCAAACUAUUUAUAUUUAUUGUUGAGUCUGUAGUCUAAAAUAGUAGCGCACUGGGGUGCAUGUUCCUAAUAUUGUGUUUACUUCAUUAAAGGGUAGCUUUGGCUCUUUUUUUUUCUUUUCUUUUUUUUAA